rnacentral:rRNA from 1 species
UACGAACCGUGCGAACGUUGUUCGGAAUCACUGGGCUUAAAGGGCGCGUAGGCGGCUUGUCAAGUCGGGGGUGAAAUACUUCAGCUUAACUGGAGAAGUGCCUUCGAUACUGGCAGGCUUGAGGGAGGUAGGGGUCUGCGGAACUUCUGGUGGAGCGGUGAAAUGCGUUGAUAUCAGAAGGAACGCCGGUGGCGAAAGCGGCGGACUGGACCUCUUCUGACGCUGAGGCGCGAAAGCUAGGGGAGCAAACGGG